GCAAGUCGAGCGGUAACAGAUCUAGCUUGCUAGAUGCUGACGAGCGGCGGACGGGUGAGUAACGCGUAGGAACCUACCCAGUAGUGGGGGAUAGCCCGGUGAAAACCGGAUUAAUACCGCAUACGCUCUACGGAGGAAAGGGGGCUUCGGCUCUCGCUAUUGGAUGAGCCUGCGUAAGAUUAGCUAGUUGGUGGGGUAAUGGCCUACCAAGGCGACGAUCUUUAGCUGGUCUGAGAGGAUGAUC
rnacentral:rRNA from 1 species